GCACUGUUGAGGAGUCCCAUAGUAGAACGAAACGGCCGUCCAGUGC
rfam:Schistosoma mansoni strain Puerto Rico chromosome W, complete genome